rnacentral:rRNA from 1 species
AACUCGCCUACACGAAGUUGGAAUUGCUAGUAAUCGUGGAUCAGCAUGCCACGGUGAAUACGUUCCCGGGUCUUGUACACACCGCCCGUCACACCAUGGGAGCUGGUAACACCCGAAGUCAGUAGUCUAACCGCAAGGAGGACGCUGCCGAAGGUGGGAUUAGCGACUGGGGUGAAGUCGUAACAAGGUAGC